rnacentral:rRNA from 1 species
GUAGGGGGCGAGCGUUGUCCGGAUUUAUUGGGCGUAAAGAGCUCGUAGGCGGUUGCGUAAGUCGGAUGUGAAAACUCAGGGCUCAACCCUGAGAUGCCAUUCGAUACUGCGCUGACUCGAGUCCGGUAGGGGAGCAUGGAGUUCCUGGUGUAGCGGUGAAAUGCGCAGAUAUCAGGAGGAACACCAGUGGCGAAGGCGGUGCUCUGGGCCGGUACUGACGCUGAGGAGCGAAAGCAUGGGUAGCAAACAGGAUUAGAUACCCUGGUAGUCCCAUGCCCGUAAACGUUGGGCACUAGGUGUGGGGCCUACUUAACGGGUUCCGUGCCGUAGCUAACGCAUUAAGUGCCCCCGCCUGGGAGUACGGCCGCAAGGCUA